UACGAAGGGUGCAAACGUUGCUCGGAAUCAUUGGGCGUAAAGCGCACGUAGGCGGCCCCGUAAGUCGGAUGUGAAAUCCCUCGGCUCAACCGAGGACGUGCAUUCGAAACUGUGGGGCUCGAGUAUGGAAGAGGGUCGCAGAAUUCCCGGUGUAGAGGUGAAAUUCGUAGAUAUCGGGAGGAAUACCAGUGGCGAAGGCGGCGACCUGGGCCAAUACUGACGCUGAGGUGCGAAAGCGUGGGGAGCAAACAGG
rnacentral:rRNA from 1 species